GAUCCUGGCUCAGAAUCAACGCUGGCGGCGUGCCUCAGACAUGCAAGUCGAACGCGAAAGCUCCCUUCGGGGAGCAAGUAGAGUGGCGCACGGGUGAGUAACACGUAGGUAAUCUACCUUUGGAUGGGGAAUAACAACCGGAAACGGUUGCUAAUACCGCAUAAUGCAGCGGCACCUAAUGGUGACAGUUGUUAAAGCGGGGGAUCGCAAGACCUCGCGUCUGAAGAGGAGCCUGCGGCGGAUUAGCUAGUUGGUAAGGUAACGGCUUACCAAGGCGAUGAUCCGUAGCCGGCCUGAGAGGGCGGUCGGCCACACUGACACUGACAUACGGGUCAGACUCCUACGGGAGGCAGCAGUCGGGAAUUUUGGGCAAUGGGCGAAAGCCUGACCCAGCAACGCCGCGUGAAGGAUGAAAUCCCUCGGGAUGUAAACUUCGCAAGAACGGGAAGAAUAAGCCGGUGUUAACACCACCGGUGAUGACGGUACUGUUUGUAAGCUCCGGCUAACUCCGUGCCAGCAGCCGCGGUAAUACGGGGGGAGCAAGCGUUGUUCGGAUUUACUGGGCGUAAAGGGCGCGUAGGCGGCCUCUGCAAGUCGACUGUGAAAUCUCCGGGCUUAACCCGGAACGGUCAGCCGAUACUGCAGGGCUAGAGUGCAGAAGGGGCAACUGGAAUUCUCGGUGUAGCGGUGAAAUGCGUAGAUAUCGAGAGGAACACCUGCGGCGAAGGCGGGUUGCUGGGCUGACACUGACGCUGAUGCGCGAAAGCUAGGGGAGCGAACGGGAUUAGAUACCCCGGUAGUCCUAGCCUUAAACGAUGAAUGCUUGGUGUCUAGGGUUUUAUAGUCCCCGGGUGCCGUCGCUAACGCUUUAAGCAU
rnacentral:rRNA from 1 species